rnacentral:misc_RNA from 1 species
AAUUAUCAACUGCUUUAUUAUGAAGUGAAGUUGGAUUUGGAGUGUUUGCUGGGCAUAUAUAUAUAUAUAUUCAGCUCCUCUUAAAAGCAUUAAAGCGAUUUGUUGGGCAAGUAUCUUUGACGUGAUAAUUAUCUACGUCGUAGAGAAAGCUCUUUGUUGACAUCGUUUAUUUAAUCUCUACUUGACCA